rnacentral:rRNA from 1 species
AGUGAACGCUGGCGGUAGGCCUAACACAUGCAAGUCGAACGGCAGCACAGUAAGAGCUUGCUCUUACGGGUGGCGAGUGGCGGACGGGUGAGGAAUACAUCGGAAUCUACUUUUUCGUGGGGGAUAACGUAGGGAAACUUACGCUAAUACCGCAUACGACCUACGGGUGAAAGCAGGGGAUCUUCGGACCUUGCGCGAUUGAAUGAGCCGAUGUCGGAUUAGCUAGUUGGCGGGGUAAAGGCCCACCAAGGCGACGAUCCGUAGCUGGUCGGAGAGGAUGAUCAGCCACACUGGAACUGAGACACGGUCCAGACUCCUACGGGAGGCAGCAGUGGGGAAUAUUGGACAAUGGGCGCAAGCCUAAUCCAGCCAUACCGCGUGGGUGAAGAAGGCCUUCGGGUUGUAAAGCCCUUUUGUUGGGAGAGAAAAGCAGCAGGUUAAUACCCCGCUGUUCUGACGGUACCCAAAGAAUAAGCACCGGCUAACUUCGUG